GAGUAACACGUGGAUAACCUACCUAUAAGACUGGGAUAACUUCGGGAAACCGGAGCUAAUACCGGAUAAUAUUUUGAACCGCAUGGUUCAAAAGUAAAAGACGGUCUUGCUGUCACUUAUAGAUGGAUCCGCGCUGCAUUAGCUAGUUGGUAAGGUAACGGCUUACCAAGGCAACGAUGCAUAGCCGACCUGAGAGGGUGAUCGGCCACACUGGAACUGAGAC
rnacentral:rRNA from 1 species